rnacentral:rRNA from 1 species
CCCGUGAACCUUUACUAUAGCUUGACACUGAACAUUGAGCCUUGAUGUGUAGGAUAGGUGGGAGGCUUUGAAGCGUGGACGCCAGUCUGCGUGGAGCAACCUUGAAAUACCACCCUUUAAUGUUUGAUGUUCUAACGUUGGCCCCUUACCGGGGUUGCGGACAGUGUCUGGUGGGUAGUUUGACUGGGGCGGUCUCCUCCCAAAGCGUAACGGAGGAGCACGAAGGUUAGCUAAUCCUGGU